rnacentral:rRNA from 1 species
AGUGAGCGCUGGCGGCGUGCUUAACACAUGCAAGUCGAACGAGAACGGGCUAUAGCUUGCUAUAGUUGUCAGCUAAGUGGCGCACGGGUGAGUAAUGUAUAGGUAAUAUGCCUCUUACUAAGGGUUAACAAAUGGAAACGUUUGCUAAUACCUUAUACUCCUUAUUAACAGAAGUUAAUAAGGGAAAGAUUUAUUGGUAAGAGAUUAGCCUGUAUUGUAUCAGUUAGUUGGUGGGGUAAUGGCUUACCAAGACUAUGACACAUAACUGGUUUGAGAGGAUGAUCAGUCACACUGGAACUGAGAAACGGUCCAGACUCCUACGGGAGGCAGCAGUGGGGAAUAUUGCACAAUGGACGAAAGUCUGAUGCAGCAACGCCGCGUGGAGGAUGACACAUUUCGGUGCGUAAACUCCUUUUAUAUGAGAAGAUAAUGACGGUAUUAUAUGAAUAAGCACCGGCUAACUCCGUGCCAGCCGCCGCAGUAA